rnacentral:tRNA from 9 species
GGACUCGUAGCUUAAUGGAUAGAGCACUUGGUUACGGCCCAAGAGGUUGUGGGUUCGACUCCCGCCGAGUUCACCA